AGUGGUUAAUUUUAUGUGAAUGAAGAGAUGGUGAUUAUUUUUGGUGUAAAAGUUUUGGAUGAAGGAGUAACUGGUGUGAAUUUAUAAUGAGGCAGGUAAGUACUGAGAAGGAAGAAUAAGAAACAGUAAAGAAGUAGUCAUCAGAAGGCGUACCUUUUGUAUAAUGGGUGAGUUAUAUGUUUUUAAUUAGGUUAGAAUUCCCGAUUUAAAAUGAGCUACUGCGGCACAUAGGUAAUGUGGAAGGAUUACAGUAGAGGUUGUAGUAGUUGUGAAAUGCUAAUCGUAUUUUAAGGUAGCUGGUUUAUCGCUAAGCCUAUGUGGUAGGUAGAAUAAUUUUUUGCGUCUUUUAUGAAGUAGGGGAGGCGAUUAGGUUAAGUUAGGGGCCUUAAGGGUGAAGCUUUGGGGCUAAGUUGGAUAAGAGAAAUGCAUGAUAGUUAAAGGUAGGGAUGAAAGUGCCCAGCUUUAAGUGGAGGUUGUUAUUAACUAUUUCGGUGGUAAGUAAAAUUUAUAUGUGGGAAUAUCUGAGAUAUGGUGGUAAAUGUCCUAGAAUUUUUGGAAGGUUAAAUAUAAUGCUUGCAUGAGUAUUAGAAUCGGAUAUUAGUUUCGUAAAUAGUUUAAGGAAGAAGUGAUUAGUGAUUGUAUUUUAAUUAAGUGUAGUUAAGGAAUUCGGCAAACAUUAAUUCCGCCUGUUUAACAAAAACAUGUCUCCUCGUAGAAUAAAGAUUGGGAGUCGGGCCUGCCCACUGAGUGAGUUUAAAUGGCUGCGGUACACUGACCGUACUAAGGUAGCAUAAUAAUUUGCCUUUUAAUUGGAGGCUAGUAUGAAUGGUUUGACGUGAAAUAUACUGUCUCAACUAUAUUUAGUAGAAUUUAACCUUUAGGUGAAGAGGCCUAAAUUUUGUGGGAAGACAAGAAGACCCUGUUGAGCUUUUAAUAUUUAUGUUAGUGAAAGCCUAAGUUUUAUAUGAUGGUCACUACUCAUAAGUAUGUUGGUUGGGGCGACCGAGGAGUACAGAAGCAACCUCCUUGUAAUGUAAAGAAUUUGUUAUUAACGAACCUGUAUUAUAGGUUAUUCGGUAGUUACCACAGGGAUAACAGCGUAAUUCUUUUGGAGAGUUCAUAUCGAAGAAAGAGAUUGCGACCUCGAUGUUGGAUUAAGGUGUCCUAAGGGUGAAGAAGCUCUUAAUGGUUGGUCUGUUCGACCAUUAAUAACCUUACAUGAUCUGAGUUCAGACCGGCGUGAGCCAGGUUGGCUUCUAUCUCCCAUAUUUUGUUAGUAGUUCUACUUAGUACGAAAGGACCAGUAGAAUUAAACAUGUGUUUAACUCUUAAGUUUAAGUGUGUUGA
rnacentral:rRNA from 1 species